rnacentral:rRNA from 1 species
UUGGAGGGCAAGUCUGGUGCCAGCAGCCGCGGUAAUUCCAGCUCCAAUAGCGUAUAUUAAAGUUGCUGCAGUUAAAAAGCUCGUAGUUGAAUUUUGGGACCAAUAUGUCGGUCGUGCCUCGGUACGUACUGGCAUCGUUGGUUUCUCCCUUCUGACGAACCAUGAUGUCAUUUAUUUGGUGUCGUGGGGAAUCAGGACUGUUACUUUGAAAAAAUUGAGUGUUUAAAAGCAGGCUCACGCUUGAAUACAUUAGCAUGGAAUAA